CAGAAAAUAGUUUAAGGAAAAUAUUAACUUUGGGAGUUAAUGAUAAAGUUGUUUCUUUUUUUCUGA
rnacentral:tRNA from 1 species